UAAAAAAAGGUAAGCUACUAAGAGCGAAUGGUGGAUGCCUUGACUGGUAAAGGCGAUGAAGGACGUACUAGACUGCGAUAAGCUACGGGGAGCUGUCAAGAAGCUUUGAUCCGUAGAUUUCCGAAUGGGGCAACCCAAUGUAUAGAGAUAUACAUUACCUAUAUAGGAGCGAACGAGGGGAAUUGAAACAUCUUAGUACCCUCAGGAAAAGAAAUCAAUAGAGAUUGCGUCAGUAGCGGCGAGCGAAAGCGCAAGAGGGCAAACCCAGUGCUUGCACUGGGGGUUGUAGGACUGCAAUGUGCAAGAGGUAAGUUUAGCAGAACAUUCUGGAAAGUAUAGCCAUAGAGGGUGAUAGUCCCGUAUGCGAAAAACAAACCUUAGCUAGCAGUAUCCUGAGUAGGGCGGGACACGAGAAAUCCUGUCUGAAGCUGGGUCGACCACGAUCCAACCCUAAAUACUAAUACCAGAUCGAUAGUGCACAAGUACCGUGAGGGAAAGGUGAAAAGAACUGAGGUGAUCAGAGUGAAAUAGAACCUGAAACCAUUUGCUUACAAUCAUUCAGAGCCCUAUGUAGCAAUACAGGGUGAUGGACUGCCUUUUGCAUAAUGAGCCUGCGAGUUGUGGUGUCUGGCAAGGUUAAGCAAACGCGAAGCCGUAGCGAAAGCGAGUCUGAAUAGGGCGCUUAGUCAGAUGCUGCAGACCCGAAACGAAGUGAUCUAUCCAUGAGCAAGUUGAAGCUAGUGUAAGAACUAGUGGAGGACUGAACCCAUAGGCGUUGAAAAGCCCCGGGAUGACUUGUGGAUAGGGGUGAAAGGCCAAUCAAACUUCGUGAUAGCUGGUUCUCUCCGAAAUAUAUUUAGGUAUAGCGUUGUGUCGUAAUAUAAGGGGGUAGAGCACUGAAUGGGCUAGGGCAUACACCAAUGUACCAAACCCUAUCAAACUCCGAAUACCUUAUAUGUAAUCACAGCAGUCAGGCGGCGAGUGAUAAAAUCCGUCGUCAAGAGGGAAACAACCCAGACUACCAGCUAAGGUCCCUAAAUCUUACUUAAGUGGAAAACGAUGUGAAGUUACUUAAACAACCAGGAGGUUGGCUUAGAAGCAGCCAUCCUUUAAAGAAAGCGUAAUAGCUCACUGGUCUAGUGAUUUUGCGCGGAAAAUAUAACGGGGCUAAAGUAAGUACCGAAGCUGUAGACUUGCACACAACUUAGAUUAUUUAAGUUUAGAAUAUGAGAAACUAAGUUAUAUGUUUAGUUAUAUUUUUACUGAUUUUUAUAGAGUAAAGAUAGAAAUAAAACUUAGUAAAAUCAGUAAAAAUAUUCUUAGACUAAAGUUAAGUAGUUUAAGUUGUGUGCAAGUGGUAGGAGAGCGUUCUAUUUGCGUCGAAGGUAUACCGGUAAGGAGUGCUGGAGCGAAUAGAAGUGAGCAUGCAGGCAUGAGUAGCGAUAAUUAAUGUGAGAAUCAUUAACGCCGUAAACCCAAGGUUUCCUACGCGAUGCUCGUCAUCGUAGGGUUAGUCGGGUCCUAAGUCGAGUCCGAAAGGGGUAGACGAUGGCAAAUUGGUUAAUAUUCCAAUACCAACAUUAGUGUGCGAUGGAAGGACGCUUAGGGCUAAGGGGGCUAGCGGAUGGAAGUGCUAGUCUAAGGUCGUAGGAGGUUAUACAGGCAAAUCCGUAUAACAAUACUCCGAGAACUGAAAGGCUUUUUGAAGUCUUCGGAUGGAUAGAAGAACCCCUGAUGCCGUCGAGCCAAGAAAAGUUUCUAAGUUUAGCUAAUGUUGCCCGUACCGUAAACCGACACAGGUGGGUGGGAUGAGUAUUCUAAGGCGCGUGGAAGAACUCUCUUUAAGGAACUCUGCAAAAUAGCACCGUAUCUUCGGUAUAAGGUGUGGUUAGCUUUGUAUUAGGAUUUACUCCGAAAGCAAGGAAACUUACAACAAAGAGUCCCUCCCGACUGUUUACCAAAAACACAGCACUCUGCUAACUCGUAAGAGGAUGUAUAGGGUGUGACGCCUGCCCGGUGCUCGAAGGUUAAUUGAUGGGGUUAGCAUUAGCGAAGCUCUUGAUCGAAGCCCGAGUAAACGGCGGCCGUAACUAUAACGGUCCUAAGGUAGCGAAAUUCCUUGUCGGUUAAAUACCGACCUGCAUGAAUGGCGUAACGAGAUGGGAGCUGUCUCAAAGAGGGAUCCAGUGAAAUUGUAGUGGAGGUGAAAAUUCCUCCUACCCGCGGCAAGACGGAAAGACCCCGUGGACCUUUACUACAGCUUGACACUGCUAUUUGGAUAAGAAUGUGCAGGAUAGGUGGGAGGCUUUGAGUAUAUGACGCCAGUUGUAUAUGAGCCAUUGUUGAGAUACCACUCUUUCUUAUUUGGGUAGCUAACCAGCUUGAGUUAUCCUCAAGUGGGACAAUGUCUGGUGGGUAGUUUGACUGGGGCGGUCGCCUCCCAAAUAAUAACGGAGGCUUACAAAGGUUGGCUCAGAACGGUUGGAAAUCGUUCGUAGAGUAUAAAGGUAUAAGCCAGCUUAACUGCAAGACAUACAAGUCAAGCAGAGACGAAAGUCGGUCUUAGUGAUCCGGUGGUUCUGUGUGGAAGGGCCAUCGCUCAAAGGAUAAAAGGUACCCCGGGGAUAACAGGCUGAUCUCCCCCAAGAGCUCACAUCGACGGGGAGGUUUGGCACCUCGAUGUCGGCUCAUCGCAUCCUGGGGCUGGAGCAGGUCCCAAGGGUAUGGCUGUUCGCCAUUUAAAGCGGUACGCGAGCUGGGUUCAGAACGUCGUGAGACAGUUCGGUCCCUAUCUGCCGUGGGCGUAAGAAGAUUGAAGAGAUUUGACCCUAGUACGAGAGGACCGGGUUGAACAAACCACUGGUGUAGCUGUUGUUCUGCCAAGAGCAUCGCAGCGUAGCUAAGUUUGGAAAGGAUAAACGCUGAAAGCAUCUAAGCGUGAAGCCAACUCUAAGAUGAAUCUUCUCUAAGCUCUCUAGAAGACUACUAGUUUGAUAGGCUGGGUGUGUAAUGGAUGAAAGUCCUUUAGCUGACCAGUACUAAUAGAGCGUUUGGCUUAUCUUUAAUAAAGCAU
rnacentral:rRNA from 1 species